AAAUGGAGAAAUUGGUAGGAAAUGGGAAUUUCAUCUCAUCUCCGUCCCCUCUUCGAAUAAGAAAUUGAAAAAAAAAAUUUCUAUCCCUUCCCUGAAUGAAAAUUUAAGUAUAAAAUUGAAUGAAAAUUUAAGUAUAAAAUUAUUCUUAUAUAUUCUUCGAAUGAAAAAAAUCUCUAAAAAUAUCCGACCGUGAGAAUUUUUGCCAUCCUUAGUGGGACUAGGCUGCUGCUUGGCACGGGAUGAGUAUUAUGGGCGGCCCGUAACAUGCAGCAACCUAUUUUACGUGGCGAAAUUCAAUUUGUUCUCUUUGUAACUUCACUAUUGUUACACGUUUUUCUUCCAAGUGCAUGCAUUUUUCCUGCUCUUGUCCAAUCACAUUAAUAGGUUUACAAAAUUGAGAUGAUGUGGCAAUAUCAACGAGUGCCACGUCAGAUGAGAUACAAAUUUUCUAUUCUAUAAUCCGUAUGCUUAGUAUUAUUCUCGGUAAAAUCCGAAUCCAUAAUUUGGAGAAGGGUGGUGUUUGGAGUAGGGAAAUAAUGGGAGAAAGAAACGAGGAAUUAGCUUCUUUUUUUUUUUCUAUCCACUCACUUUCUCUCUUUCUUUUUCUUUUUUAUUUCUCUUUAUACUUAAUAUUUUUCUUUAAAAAAUAUAAACAAGGAACUCUCAUAUGGCAAAUAAUUUAAGGAUAAUAUAUCAUUUUGCAAUCUUUAGAUAUUAUAAUAGACACUGCCUUAUUCUUUAUGAACAAUAAAUUCAUUUUAUACUAUAAAUAUGUAUUGUCCUUUAAUAUCUACUUUGUAAAUAUAGUACAACUCUGAGUCUCUGACUCCAGAUUAGAUAGCUAAUGCUUGCGGCAUAACUAAGAAAAUAUAUUGAAAAGUUCAAAAUGAUAUAGCAGGGGUUUUGAUAAUUCAAUAAUUUAGAUUUACUGUGGAACUAACUUUCACGCUGAUUUUAAAAAUAUAUAAUAAAUAGUUAUUAAAUAAAAAUAUAUAAUUAAUUAAAUUUAAAUUAUUUAUUAUUAUGAUCAUGUGCGUGACAGAAAAUUUAAAAAAUAUAAGUAUAAAUUAGCUCAAUACUAAAUUUAAACAUACCAAUGAAUAUUGGUUCUGGAAAUUCUUAUUUGUGAAUUAUUGAUACUACAAUGGUUCAUCACGGUGACUAUAUUUUUUUAUAUUUUCGGGUUUGGAUAAGCCUAUAAAGAGACAUGGCUCACGCCUGCAGCCUACCCUACCUUGUGUACACAAUAAUGACUCUUUAGGUGGACUGUCCUAAUCUUAAUCCUAAUGGUUUAUUGGUUUCGCAGUGCUUUCGCGUCAAUCCUCUUCCUCUCACGUGGCACACACGUGUUACAAUUGAGCGCUCUGAUUUUUGGACGACAAGUGUCAAAGUUAGGGCCCGUCUAAAUUCAAACUUUAUAAACCGUUCGUUUCAUAACCCUAUUAGCUGUUUAUUUUAUAAUGUUUUGUCAAAAUGAUGUCUGAUAAUUUUUUUAAAAAAAUUACUCAUUUCAUAAUUUAAUCUAUUUUGACAACAAUUUUUAAAAACGUAUCGAAGUUACUUUCUAUAAGUAAUUUAUUAAAUAAACCAUCAUAUCUUUAAAGUUCUUAUUAUAAUCUUUAUUAUUUUAACAAAAAAUUAUUGGUGUUUUAUUUUUUCAUACCAUAAUAAAUAAAUCAUUAUAUAUGAUAUUGCUGCCACAGUCAUAUUACACCAUAACUACACUAUACAUUCUUCCUAAUAUUAAAAUUUUUUCAUAACAACUUUUGUUUAUUUUCUAUCAUGAGCAUCGAUAAGACUUGUAUAUAAUUACAUAAAUUUUUGUUAAGACUAUGACAUUGCAUAAUAUAUAAAGAGGCAUGCACGAGGUGAUCUUCAUUCUGACAACAUUAAAAAUUAUCAUAGUUCAAUUUUUGAUGAAGAAAUAAAAAGAAACAGACACUUGAUAAAAGUAUCACAACACUGAUAGUUCUGGAUAACAAACAAUUAAAAUUUUGAGGAAUAUUAUUGCAAUAAGUUUUAUGUGAAUCAAAUAUAUUAUUUUGUUUUAUUUGAACAUAUGUAUUAGUAUGAAUUCUUAUAGUAUGUUAUUUAACAAAUGAUUAAGUUUGUUAUAUUUCACUUAAUUGAAUUUUUUCACUUUAUAUAAUUUUACGUGUUUUAAAAAAUAAAGAAAGCAUUUCUAAAUAAUUUUACUAAGUGUACUCUAAAAAAUUAAAAAAAAUUAAAUUUAAGUUUAUUUUGGACAUUUUAUAAUAAAAUAAUACUUUGAUAAUAAAAUAUAUUAAAUGCAUGUGCUAUGUUUUUCAAAUUCAUUGCAAUUGCAGCAAUAUAGUUUACCAAACACUAACUGCUUUUUAGUCAACAACUUAUUUCAUUCACAUAAAAAAACUUAUUUCGUUAGCCACUACAAUUCCAAACUGAUCUUUACAUAGUUGGUUGGCUAGUAAAACAAGAAGUUAAGUUAAGAUAAGAAAUUCAUAAAAUGAUGAAGCAAUUUAUCAUAGGAUUAAUACGAUUUACUGUUGAGAAUGUGACAUAUGAAUUUCUUAACAUAUAUCGAUUUUUUUUCAAUUUAAAUACAUUAAUGAUUCGUUGAUGAAUGUAAUUGACUUGUUAUAUGAAUGACGAGGUAUGUACCGAAGAAUUUCUUUAGACAAUGAAGGUAGUUUUCCACAAAAGAUUGCUAAUUCUAAGAUACUUGUAUUGAAUUAUAAACAUUUGACAUACUUCCACAUUCAAAUUUAUCCAAUCCACAAAAAUAAUGAAGUUCAAUUCAAUACAAUCCACGUUUCUAUAGAUCAAAUGCCGAUUUGACACACAUAUUAAUAUACUAUAUUUUGAAUUUAUUGUGAAUUACAAAUUUUGUUAAUCUUGAUCUAAUCGACAAAACAGUGAAAUACAAAAAAAAAAUGGAAAAAGAAAAAUCAAAUCUAAAAAAAUUUAAGGAAGCAACGAAACAAUAUUUGCAAUCAUAAUAAAAUACAAAGUUGAAGCACUCAAGAUCUGCUAAUUUGUAUAUACAUAGCAAAAUUGUUUUUUGAAUUCAAAGAAGCAUGAGUAUCGAGUAGGUACAGCUUGUUAGUUGAAUCGGAAAGCUUUAUCCAAACAUUUUAUAACUCGUUGGAUUGAUUAUACAUUUAAGUGAGUUUCCAUUGUAUUAGACGAUGAUUCAAUUGUACAAAGAGUGGAGCUAUUGGCACCCAUACAUUAUUCUUACAAAACCCCACUUUAAAUAAAAUUAUAAUUAAAGACACAUAUAGAUUUUU
rnacentral:lncRNA from 1 species